rnacentral:rRNA from 1 species
CAUGCAGUCGAGGGGUAUAGUAGCAAUACUAGAGACCGGCGCACGGGUGCGUAACGCGUAUGCAAUCUACCUUUUACAGCGGGAUAGCCCAGAGAAAUUUGGAUUAAUACCACAUAGUAUAAUUACUCGGCAUCGAGAUAUUAUUAAAGUUACAACGGUAAAAGAUGAGCAUGCGUCCCAUUAGCUAGUUGGUAAGGUAACGGCUUACCAAGGCGACGAUGGGUAGGGGUCCUGAGAGGGAGAUCCCCCACACUGGUACUGAGACACGGACCAGACUCCUACGGGAGGCAGCAGUGAGGAAUAUUGGACAAUGGGCGCAAGCCUGAUCCAGCCAUGCCGCGUGCAGGAAGACGGUCCUAUGGAUUGUAAACUGCUUUUAUACAGGAAGAAACACCUCUACGUGUAGAGACUUGACGGUACUGUAAGAAUAAGGAUCGGCUAACUCCGUGCCAGCAGCCGCGGUAAUACGGAGGAUCCAAGCGUUAUCCGGAAUCAUUGGGUUUAAAGGGUCCGUAGGCGGUUUGGUAAGUCAGUGGUGAAAGCCCAUCGCUCAACGGUGGAACGGCCAUUGAUACUGCCAGACUUGAAUUAUUAGGAAGUAACUAGAAUAUGUAGUGUAGCGGUGAAAUGCUUAGAGAUUACAUGGAAUACCAAUUGCGAAGGCAGGUUACUACUAAUGGAUUGACGCUGAUGGACGAAAGCGUGGGUAGCGAACAGGAUUAGAUACCCUGGUAGUCCACGCCGUAAACGAUGGAUACUAGCUGUUGGGAGCAAUCUCAGUGGCUAAGCGAAAGUGAUAAGUAUCCCACCUGGGGAGUACGUUCGCAAGAAUGAAACUCAAAGGAAUUGACGGGGGCCCGCACAAGCGGUGGAGCAUGUGGUUUAAUUCGAUGAUACGCGAGGAACCUUACCAAGGCUUAAAUGUAGAUUGACCGGUUUGGAAACAGACCCUUCGCAAGACAAUUUACAAGUGCUGCAUGGUUGUCGUCAGCUCGUGCCGUG